AGUGGAAAAGUUCCAGAACGAAUCCCUUGCAAGUGCUGAACGUUGCACCCUUGAUAAAUGUCUUUUUACAUAUGGUUCCGUUGAGAAUUCGGACUUAAAAGUUUUAUACGUUCUCAGUUUUGGCAUUGUUCGCACUUCGUUACUCCAUCUAUCUUUGAAGUCAUCUACACAUUUACUUUUGACUGUUUCUAAAACGUAGUUUGUAGAAAUAUUCUCGCCACUGUAGUUGAUCAAAUGCGUAAGAUUACAAGUAUUCAAAACUGUCUUGAUAUUGU
rnacentral:lncRNA from 1 species